rnacentral:rRNA from 1 species
GAGUUUGAACCUGGCUCAGGAUGAACGCUGGCGGCGUGCUUAACACAUGCAAGUCGAACGGGGUACCCCCAAAGGAGUUUUCGGACAACUGCGGGGAAUACCUAGUGGCGGACGGGUGAGUAACGCGUGAGUAACCUGCCUUGGAGUGGGGAAUAACAGCUGGAAACAGCUGCUAAUACCGCAUAAUGCAGUUGGGUCGCAUGGCUCUGACUGCCAAAGAUUUAUCGCUCUGAGAUGGACUCGCGUCUGAUUAGCUAGUUGGUGGGGCAACGGCCCACCAAGGCGACGAUCAGUAGCCGGACUGAGAGGUUGGCCGGCCACAUUGGGACUGAGACACGGCCCAGACUCCUACGGGAGGCAGCAGUGGGGAAUAUUGGGCAAUGGGCGCAAGCCUGACCCAGCAACGCCGCGUGAAGGAAGAAGGCUUUCGGGUUGUAAACUUCUUUUCUCAGGGACGAAGCAAGUGACGGUACCUGAGGAAUAAGCCAUGGCUAACUACGUGC